UACGGGGGGAGCAAGCGUUGUUCGGAUUUACUGGGCGUAAAGGGCGCGUAGGCGGUCACGACAAGUCAGUUGUGAAAUCUCCGGGCUUAACUCGGAACGGUCAACUGAUACUGCUCGGCUAGAGUGCGGAAGGGGCAACUGGAAUUCUUGGUGUAGCGGUGAAAUGCGUAGAUAUCAAGAGGAACACCUGCGGCGAAGGCGGGUUGCUGGGCCGACACUGACGCUGAAGCGCGAAAGCUAGGGGAGCGAACGGG
rnacentral:rRNA from 1 species